CUGCGUCCAGAUAGCUUUGGGGUAGUUGGCCGUUGCUAUUUUUUGCACAAAGUAAAUCCAUUUGAGAUGGCAGAGGAGCAGCUGUUUGUCGAGGAUCUUCAGGAUGUGGACCAACAUCUUCUCCGCGCAACCAGAGUUGAUACCUGCCACGUAUUAAUGACAAAAAUUAUUUGUGAGGUUGUUGAUGGAGAUUAACAUUGUUAACCAAAAUACCUUUCUGGUUGAAAGCGUUUCACGAACGUAUCCAUAGAAAUCUUGACCAUAUCCUUACUGCAAGAGCAUUGAGUGGCCCGUUUUCCGUAUUCGACCCACCUGGGUGUCGCAAAAUUUGUGGACUCAGCACAGUUAAAACCAUGAUUGAAUCCCGCGUGAUAACCGUACGGAAAAGUGAUCAUGAUUUCGCCUUCUUCUUGAGUUAUCUGUAGAAUGGGAUGGAAUAUUGCUUAAGAACUUGUGGUGAUAUGAGGGACAUCUUGUGCCUCAAGAAAGCCUGACAGCUCUGAUAACUUGACGUGAAAAAUCCAUUAGCCAAUCUUUCUAGUCUCCGUCCGUGCUCAGGUGGUAUGGCGUACCAUGUCUUGGGUGCACCAAAGUGAAGAUGGUUGAUGUUCCAUUCUUUAACCUCGGGGUCAGUGAGUGAACCGGAAACAUCAGCACCAUAAAUUGGAGCUACACCCUGCUUUCCAUCGACUACUUGACAGAUGGGUGCUGGUAUUGUAAUAUCUAAAUCAUCCAAAUGAUAGCCGGACUUUCUUGCUACCCAUUGAGCCGGCGGUAUAACUUUAGCUAUUCCAGCUUUGUGUGCACCUUUACUUUCCAUAUGAACAAUUUGCAGAAAAAUCAACCUCAAGGCUUUUGGGAAAAAAACUUUUCAACUCACCGACAAUGGAUACAAAAACGUAAUCGCUAUAUCCUCGCCUCGAUCCGACUGAGCGAUGCAGGUCAAUUCACCCAUAUCGCUCCAAAGUAGAGGGAAGAUCACAAGCUCUCCACUUCCCAGUACCUGAACAAACCCUUUGACGUACCUGGCGAAGUGGCUCUGCACCUCUCAGCCAGUGGAUUUGAGGCAUGGGACUUCCUAUAGCUUCGCACUCCAAUUCGAUGUGAGAUCUAUGUUUGUCUGGUUUGGGCAACACUCGCAGGUGGCGCUACCAUUACAUCGCGAUCGAUUUCAUUUUCCUCGAUCGCCGCUUCUUCGUCCGCAUCUUCUUGAACACGUUCCCUCAAAAAUGACAAUGGUACACCGUUCGUUUUAUGUGGAAUCGUGGAUACCAGAAGCAGUAAGCCUGCCGAGAACAUUAUGGCGAGUCGAUGCAUCUGAAAUUAUAGAACAGAGACUUUUGACGUUUUACCUCUUAACUCCAAGCCCUUCAAUAGAUUCAUCAGGAACCUUUUGAUCAACACCGAGAUGAAGUCUGAAGAAUUGGAAAGUCCCGUUAUAAAAUGAAACAUAAAUUAGCAAUUUUAAAUCCAACAAAAGAAACCACACGACGAACCUGUUAUAAAGAUUUAUGUACAUGAUGAUGAGCGUAAAAAAUUUAUCUAUAAUCGCACCAAUUUUUCAUCCAUAGACACAGUUAUACAAGGAGUUCGAAGGGGCAUUGAGUUUUAUGGAAAGUUGAAGAAAACCAUGAGAAGUCGGAGGUCCUGGCGUAUAUAUCUGGUUAUAUGCGACCUAUGUACGUAUAUAGACCGGAGAUUUGAAGAGAGCUAGAAGUUGAAUCUUCGUAAUUCUCGUUGACCCGGUUUUGAGAGAGGAAAUGCGCGAUGACGUAAAGAAAUCUACCGGACAUAUGGGUUAUUUAUUCAUAGAAAAUCCCGAUGAGGUUCGCAUUUGAUUAUCGUUAAGCGCCCGGAGCAGAACCGACUUUCCAGAGUUUUCAGAAAAUGAGUAUGGCUGCAGUAUGAGUUGUAGCAACAGCGGCUGUGGAGCUGGAGUUGGAUAUGUUUUCCAAAUUUAUAUUCUACGCCCGGUACCUACCCGCCUAAUUUGUAUAUUCCAAUGAGAGGAAUGAAAAAAAGAACAAUAAUAAGAAAAAUGUGAUGCAUACGUAAGCGCACGUGUGUGCACAAGAUUAUCAUUCCACACCACGUCAACCUGGGAACUGAUUUGCAGAGGGUUAGUGCCGGUCAAUUUAUACGUUCAAAAACAACAAUGCUAUCCCUCGCUCUACUAGGAUUGGCUGUCACGACGAGGUGGGGGUUUUCCUUGGCAACCAAUCAUUUUCAACAGAGAGAGCUCUAAAGCCUUUUAGUUAAAAGUUCUUAUUCGUAUACCGAACGUUGGACACAGGACAGUAUACUAGGUCCGUGAUGACGUUCUUCUCUACGAUGCAUACCUCUACCUACAUCAGCAGCAGCAGUAGUAGCACCAGCAGCAGCGGUACCCGCAGCAACGUCAUUAUUAACGUUAAUGAAACGCUUACCCAUGGGAUAGUUAAAAAGCCUGGAGCCCCACGAUAUUUGAGGCAUGAAUAAUCAUCCGUACUACGAAAGCAAUUUUAAUUGCGGGAAAUGUAGUACGUAUACCUAUCCAGGUAUAAUAGGUAUUAUGGAAAAUGAAAAGAGAAAAGAUAAUCGUGGAUGUCAUAGGGAGAUACGCAUACGUGGUAUCUAGAUGCUCUUGUCGGAAGAUUUUUAAUUCCCUGUGACAGUUUGGGGAUCCUCGGACGGACGAAUGUUUUUCCUUUUUUUU